rnacentral:rRNA from 1 species
AUUGAACGCUGGCGGCAGGCCUAACACAUGCAAGUCGAGCGGAGCUGCGGACGGGUGAGUCAUGCCUAGGAAUCUGCCUGGUAGUGGGGGAUAACGUCCGGCAACGGGCGCUAAUACCGCAUACUAUCAGAUGAGCCUAGGUCGGAUUCGCGAGUUGGUGUGGUAAAGGCCUACCAAGGCGACGAUCCGUAACUGGUCUGAGAGGAUGAUCAGGCACACGGGAACUGAGACACGGGCCAGACUCCUACGGGAGGCAGCAGUGGGGAAUAUUGCACAAGGGGCGCAAGCCUGAUGCAGCCAUGCCGCGUGUAUGAAGAAGGCCUGCGGGUUGUAAAGUACUUUCAGCGGGGAGGCGUUACCCGCAGAAGAAGCACCGGCUAACUCCGUGCCAGCAGCCGCGGUAAUUC